GGGGGAUAUUGCACAAUGGGCGCAAGCCUGAUGCAGCGACGCCGCGUGAGGGAUGACGGCUUUCGGGUUGUAAACCUCUUUUACUAUCGAACAAGGCACAGUCUUUUGUUGUGUUGAGGGUAGGUGGUGAAUAAGCGCCGGCUAACUACGUGCCAGCAGCCGCGGUAAUACGUAGGGCGCGAGCGUUGUCCGGAAUUAUUGGGCGUAAAGAGCUCGUAGGCGGCUUGUCGCGUCUGCUGUGAAAUCCCAGGGCUUAACUCUGGGCGUGCAGUGGGUACGGGCAGGCUAGAGUGCGGUAGGGGUGAUUGGAAUUCCUGGUGUAGCGGUGGAAUGCGCAGAUAUCAGGAGGAACACCGAUGGCGAAGGCAGGUCACUGGGCCGUUACUGACGCUGAGGAGCGAAAGCAUGGGGAGCGAAC
rnacentral:rRNA from 1 species